UACGUAGGUCGCAAGCGUUGUCCGGAUUUACUGGGCGGAAAGAGCGCGCAGGCGGCUGGUCAAGUCCGAUGUGAAAUCUCCCGGCUCAACUGGGAAACUGCAUCGGAAACUGAUCGGCUUGAAGAUGGGAGAGGGUAGUGGAACUCCCGGUGUAGUGGUGAAAUGCGCAGAUAUCAGGAGGAACACCGAUGGCGAAGGCAGCCAUCUGGACCGACACUGACGCUGAGGCGCGAAAGCGUGGGGAGCAAACAGG
rnacentral:rRNA from 1 species